CAGGCCUAACACAUGCAAGUCGAACGGUUUUGAGUACUUGUACUUGAGAUAGUGGCGAACGGGUGAGUAAUGCCUAGGAAUCUGCCGAUUAAUGGGGGACAACGUUUCGAAAGGAACGCUAAUACCGCAUACGCCCUACGGGGGAAAGCAGGGGAUCACUUGUGACCUUGCGUUAAUUGAUGAGCCUAGGUCAGAUUAGCUAGUUGGUGAGGUAAAGGCUCACCAAGGCGACGAUCUGUAGCGGGUCUGAGAGGAUGAUCCGCCACACUGGAACUGAGACACGGUCCAGACUCCUACGGGAGGCAGCAGUGGGGAAUAUUGGACAAUGGGGGCAACCCUGAUCCAGCCAUGCCGCGUGAGUGAUGAAGGCCCUAGGGUUGUAAAGCUCUUUCACCGGUGA
rnacentral:rRNA from 1 species